rnacentral:lncRNA from 1 species
UUCCUGGGACUGAAGCUUGGAAGAUGUGCCAAUCUCCUGACCUGAGGUUCUGGCUCCAUCUUCUAGGUGGAGAAGACCCAGCUUUUAAGUCAGGCUUUUGAGCAAUUCUGCAAUUGUUUCAAACCUACUCAUGGAUUCCCCAGCUAUGGAACAGCCUGAAGGAGCCUCAUUGUGAAAGCAAGCACAAGCCUUGGGCUUGCUACUCACAGACCAAGUGGGAAAGCCUGGCUCUGCUGGAGAACUCCACUGAGAAAUUAAUCACUGGCCAGAUCCUUAUCGAAAGCUGCUUGAAGAAAUCUCCUUGCCAUUUCCAGACUGGAGACCUUUUGUUUUCAUUCAGCGAAGUACCAGUUCUGUAAGAGACAGCUUUCUCCACUCAGCAUCUUUGGGACACCCAUCGAUCAACGACAGGGAAUUGAAGUAAGAGGAGGGUGGCUUGGAAAAUAAACUCUUCACAUUCAACUGACGAAGUGGGAAACAUCCGCUGCUGGCCUAUCUCCACCAGCUUUGAUGGAGCAGCGCCAGCACAGAGCUUGGCCCGGCGUCUUUCAAGUCAUUAUUCUUUCAUUGGUUAUUUGCUAGUCUAUUGAAAGCCGGAGUUUUACAUCUGCUGCCUCAUGGACUUUCUCUCCUAUUAUGAACAUGCUUUG